AAUAUUGGACAAUGGGGGCAACCCUGAUCCAGCAACGCCGCGUGAGGGAUGAAGGUCUUUGGAUUGUAAACCUCUCUUCUCAGGGAAGAGCGAGGACGGUACCUGAGGAAUAAGUCACGGCUAACUACGUGCCAGCAGCCGCGGUAAUACGUAGGUGGCAAGCGUUAUCCGGAAUUACUGGGCGUAAAGCGCACGCAGGCGGCCAUUUAAGUCUGACGUGAAAGCUGCCGGCUUAACUGGGAGAGGUCGUUGGAGACUGGGUGGCUUGAGGCAAUGAGAGGGGUGUAGAAUUCCUGGUGUAGUGGUGGAAUGCGUAGAUAUCAGGAGGAAUACCAGUGGCGAAAGCGGCACCCUGGCAUUGGCCUGACGCUCAUGUGCGAAAGCGUGGGGAGCGAACGGG
rnacentral:rRNA from 1 species